rnacentral:rRNA from 1 species
AGAGUUUGAUCCUGGCUCAGGAUGAACGCUGGCGGCGUGCCUAACACACGCAAGUCGAGCGCGAUUAAUUGGACUGGAGGCUUCGGCCAAAGGGAAGAUUAUGAAAGCGGCGGACGGGUGAGUAACGCGUGAGCAACCUGCCCUGUACAGGGGGAUAGCCACUGGAAACGGUGAUUAAUACCCCAUAAACCCAAAGGAUCGCAUGGUCCAAUGGGCAAAGUUCCAACGGUACAGGAUGGGCUCGCGUCUGAUUAGCUAGUUGGUGAGGUAACGGCUCACCAAGGCGACGAUCAGUAGCCGACCUGAGAGGGUGAACGGCCACACUGGAACUGAGACACGGUCCAGACUCCUACGGGAGGCAGCAGUGGGGAAUAUUGCACAAUGGGCGCAAGCCUGAUGCAGCAACGCCGCGUGAGUGAUGAAGGCCUUCGGGUCGUAAAACUCUGUCCUAAGGGAAGAAGAAGUGACGGUACCUUAGGAGGAAGCCCCGGCUAACUACGUGCCAGCAGCCGCGGUAAUACGUAGGGGGCAAGCGUUAUCCGGAAUCACUGGGCGUAAAGGGUGCGUAGGCGGCUGAUCAAGCCAGGGGUGAAAGGCAAUAGCUUAACUAUUGUAAGCCUUUGGAACUGGUCAGCUUGAGUGCAGGAGAGGAAAGCGGAAUUCCUAGUGUAGCGGUGAAAUGCGUAGAUAUUAGGAGGAACACCCGUGGCGAAGGCGGCUUUCUGGACUGUAACUGACGCUGAGGCACGAAAGCGUGGGGAGCAAACAGGAUUAGAUACCCUGGUAGUCC